rnacentral:rRNA from 1 species
GACGGUGACUCAAGCGCGGGGGCCACACCUCUUCCCAUCCCGAACAGAGAAGUAAAGUCCCGCAGCGCCGAUGGUACUGCCUUCGAGGCGGAAGAGUAGGUCGUUGCCGUUU